CAAGCUACGGCUAUUCCCCAAGGCACUUACGUCUUCUACGGGGCGUAGCCCUCGCUCCACUUGCGAGUGAGUGGUGAUAGUUGGUACGCAAAAGGCGCAGAGCAAGCUCCUCCUUCUGUGCAGGAGAUACGCAACGAAGGGCACCAGGCAAGCCCCAGCCGCAGGAAGCCAGCCUCCUGUACCCAGUCUGAUAAAACUUUUCACACUGUCAUGUAAUCUUAUUAUGGCAAGGGUCAGCACAGUUAAACAUAGUUUUUUAUUUUUGCUUGUGAGGAAACUUUUAGUCAUGGAAGAAAAUGCUGUGGUGCUGUUUAUCUCGUGCAGUUUCUAUAGGAGAUCUCUGGCAAGCAUCAAGGGAACUUGCUGUCUGCCUUAAUAUCUCCAGCUGGAGUCAAUUAUUGAGGCAGAGUUGCAUCAUGGGCUUUGUUGUUGGCAUUGAUUACCUGGAAGAGGGGAUUGCCUGUAUGCCAUUUGUGACCACUUCUAUUUCAGGAUUGGCGUAUAUUUGUGAAUAAAACAAGUUACACUAA